AACGAACGCUGGCGGCAGGCCUAACACAUGCAAGUCGAGCGCCCCGCCAGUGGAGCGGCGGACGUGUGAGUAACGCGUGGGAACGUACCCUUUGCUACGGAAUAGCCUCGGGAUACUUGGAGUAAUACCUUAUGUGUCCUUCGGUAGAAAGAUUUAUCGGCAAGGGAUCGGCCCGCGUUGGAUUCGGUAGUUGGUGGGGUAAUUGCCUACCAAUCCGAGGAUCCAUAGCUGGUUUGAGAGGAUGAUCAGCCACACUGGGACUGAGACACGGCCGAGAAUCCUACGGGAGGGAGGAGAGGGGAAUCUUAGACAAUGGGCGCAAGGCUGAACGAGCCAUGGCGGGUGAGCGAUGAAGGCCUUAGGGUUGUAAAGCUCUUUCAGGGGGGAAGAUAAUGACUGUACCCAAAGAAGAAGCACCGGCUAACUCCGUG
rnacentral:rRNA from 1 species